rnacentral:rRNA from 2 species
CAGCCGCCGCGGUAAAACCAGCACCUCAAGUGGUCAGGAUGAUUAUUGGGCCUAAAGCAUCCGUAGCCGGCUCUGUAAGUUUUCGGUUAAAUCUGUACGCUCAACGUACAGGCUGCCGGGAAUACUGCAGAGCUAGGGAGUGGGAGAGGUAGACGGUACUCGGUAGGAAGGGGUAAAAUCCUUUGAUCUAUUGAUGACCACCUGUGGCGAAGGCGGUCUACCAGAACACGUCCGACGGUGAGGGAUGAAAGCUGGGGGAGCAAACCGGAUUAGAUACCCGGGUAGUCCCAGCUGUAAACUAUGCAAACUCAGUGAUGCAUUGGCUUGUGGCCAAUGCAGUGCUGCAGGGAAGCCGUUGAGUUUGCCGCCUGGGAAGUACGUACGCAAGUAUGAAACUUAAAGGAAUUGGCGGGGGAGCAC